rnacentral:rRNA from 1 species
GGGCCCGCACAAGCGGUGGAGCAUGUGGUUUAAUUCGAUGAUACGCGAGGAACCUUACCAGGGCUUAAAUGCAGAACGACCGGGUGAAACACCCUUUCUUCGGACGGUCUGCAAGGUGCUGCAUGGUUGUCGUCAGCUCGUGCUGUGAAGUGUCGGGUUAAGUCCCAUAACGAGCGCAACCCCUAUUUCUAGUUGCCAGCGGUUCGGCCGGGGACUCUAGAGAAACUGCCAGCGUAAGCUGUGAGGAAGGUGGGAUGACGUCAAAAUCAUCACGGCCCUUACGUCCUGGGCCACACACGUGCUACAAUGGUGGGGACAACGAGUCGCUAACCCGCGAGGGUAAGCUAA